GGGAAGCUGGUUGGUGGCCCCGCCCCACAAAGGCCAGCUGCGGGGUGGGGCGAGGCGGGUACUCCCGGGUCUGGGCUGCUGCUCAGCCAGGAGGCACGGGCUCCUCCCCAGCGAGGACAGCAGCCGACUGCAGUGUUCCAGUAGAUGCAGUCUAGCUUGGAUCCCAGAUUGGAGCAUUCAGCAGCUUCGAGAGCCCUGCCAGCUUUGGUCCAUCUGGCACUUUGC
rnacentral:lncRNA from 1 species